CCUACGGGUGGCAGCAGUCGAGAAUCAUUCACAAUGGGGGAAACCCUGAUGGUGCGACGCCGCGUGGGGGAAUGAAGGUCUUCGGAUUGUAAACCCCUGUCAUGUGGGAGCAAAUUAAAAAGAUAGUACCACAAGAGGAAGAGACGGCUAACUCUGUGCCAGCAGCCGCGGUAAUACAGAGGUCUCAAGCGUUGUUCGGAAUCACUGGGCGUAAAGCGUGCGGAGGCUGUUUCGUAAGUCGUGUGUGAAAGGCGCGGGCUCAACCCGCGGACGGCACAUGAUACUGCGAGACUAGAGUGAUGGAGGGGGAACCGGAAUUCUCGGUGUAGCAGUGAAAUGCUUAGAUAUCGAGAGGAACACUCGUGGCGAAGGCGGGUUCCUCGACAUUAACUGACGCUGAGGCACGAAGGCCAGGGGAGCGAAAGGGAUUAGAUACCCUUGUAGUC
rnacentral:rRNA from 1 species